GACGAACGCUGGCGGCGUGCUUAACACAUGCAAGUCGAACGGAAAGGCCCCUUUGGGGGUACUCGAGUGGCGCACGGGUGAGUAACACGUGCGUAACCUGCCCUUGACUUCGGGAUAACUUCAGGAAACUGGGGCCAAUACCGGAUAGGAAUCCUUGCUGCAUGGUGGGGGUUGGAAAGCUUCGGCGGUUUUGGAUGGACUCGCGGCUUAUCAGCUUGUUGGUGGGGUAGUGGCUUACCAAGGCUUUGACGGGUAGCCGGCCUGAGAGGGCGACCGGCCACAUUGGGACUGAGAUGCGGCCCAGACUCCUACGGGAGGCAGCAGGGGGGAAUAUUGCACAAUGGGCGGAGGCCUGAUGCAGCAACGCCGCGUGCGGGAUGACGGCCUUCGGGUUGUAAACCGCUUUCAGCAGGGGCGAAGCUUGUGGUGACGGUACCUGCAGAAGAAGCACCGGCUAACUACGUG
rnacentral:rRNA from 1 species